CGAGACCGGGUGUUCCUGUCCAAUUUCGGAUCGAAAAUUAAUCAGGAAAUAAGCAUGUAGAAAGCUUGAGUUCCCAUUGUUUGGACGAGGGUUCGAACCCCUCCGACUCCACUC
rnacentral:tmRNA from 1 species